GGCCCCAUCGUCUAGCGGUUAGGACAUCGGCCUCUCACGCCGGUAACACGGGUUCGAUUCCCGUUGGGGUCG
rnacentral:tRNA from 2 species